rnacentral:rRNA from 1 species
UACGUAGGGUGCGAGCGUUGUCCGGAAUUACUGGGCGUAAAGAGCUCGUAGGUGGUUUGUCGCGUUGUUCGUGAAAACUCACAACUCAAUUGUGGGCGUGCGGGCGAUACGGGCAGACUGGAGUACUGCAGGGGAGACUGGAAUUCCUGGUGUAGCGGUGGAAUGCGUUGAGAUCGGAAGGAACGCCCGUGGCGAAAGCGAGGUCCUGGACGUUUUCUGACGCUGAGACGCGAAAGCUAGGGGAGCGAACGGG